UGCCCGCUCAAGCAAAUCAAUGAGCAACAGGAUGACAGUGACUGUACUGAAAAAGGAGACACAGUAAAUCCACCCCAUAUGCACCUCAGUUCAGACACUUUGCCUGGUCUGUACUGUGAAUGGGGGGACAUGG
ensembl:snoRNA